UGGGCCUUUGGCUUCCUGUCACACAGCCGUGCGACAAGGGGCAGGUUUCUGAAGGACCAGAGAGAAAAGGGGUCUGUUGUUCUCGGGGGCACAGGCUUGCUGGUGGCAUCCCGCACAGACACUCUCUCCUCACAGCUCCCACCACGGGGACUGGAGGCAGGAGGAGCCGACGGGCCCCUGGAACGGCCGCGGUGCGUCCAGAGGUGGGAGCCGCAAGCCCGAGGAUCGGCCGAGUCCCAGGGGACCCUAACGGAGGCCGGGCUGGAAGGCCAAGGUGGCUGCCACGUGGGAAGGUAUCCUUGACGUCCAGACCCUGGAGAAGGAUCGGGAGCCACCACCCAAAGCAACUGUCCAGGAAAAGUGGUCGCGCUUCAGCCAUCGCGCUGGGCUAGGUCUUCCAAGCGAACCCCCUGUUGGAGCCUCUGCCGUCUAACGUCACCUAAUGUAGCCGAACCUGCCAAGACCCUGGCUACUUCACUGGAACCCAGACCAGGGCGAUCCCCGAGUGUUGCGAGCCCACCUUCCUCUUCCUCGACGGUGGCUCCAGCCCCUUCAUGUCGCCUCCAAGCUCCUGCCCAAGUGUUCCCACCCGCACUGCUGGGAGCAGCUCCUCUGUGUUUUCAGGGCCACUUUGCUGUCGUCCUUUGAAGGUUCUCUUGGCGACUCUAGGAAGACUCCGUGGUACAGGUGACCUUCUGUAUCUGUGGAGGAUCGGUUCCCAGAUACCCCCGCCCACGGAUCCCAAAAUCCCAGGAGCCAAGCCUUGUCUAAAGUGCCGGAGUGCAGCCUGGCCUCCAGAACGCGUGAGAACAGAGCAGCCGUACUCUGUUUCCAACGACCGAUGGCCAAAGCCCCGCUGUGCGUGUUCUCUAUGGACUGAACAGCCAGUGGCCCUGUAGCAGUGAAGCCUCACACCGUCCUCCAGGCUGGAAGGGACCCUUGAGUCACAGAACUUGCCAGUUUGCAAACAUGUCUCUAGUUGUAACAACUUUCAUCUGUCAAAUGAGGGCUCUUCAUUUCUAAGGUUCUAGAAGCCGGCCGUGGUCAUAUAGUCCCUCAGCUGGGUGUACUGAAAUCUGGGCCAGAGGCACAGCUUCCUCGCUAAGACACCCCCCCACCCCAGCACCCUGCACACACACACAGGCAGAGGCCAAGCUGCCUGCCUCCCCGCACCCCCUAGAAUGCUAACCACUGGGGACCGAGGGGUAGUUCCUACCUUUUAUAUCCUUACAUACUGAAUCUGGCGCUGGCUCCUGGGCUGCAUCUUCUUAACUGCAAACACUCUAUACCAUCCCUCUCUGGUUCCACCAGCCACCACCCUCCUUCCGUGUCCUCCUCUGAACGUGCCUGAUAAAGGCUUUUGAGUGACUGAAUGAGUGGACGGCUCCCAUCUUCUGUCAUCUCAAUGAGUGCUGCUCCCCAGCUGACUGGAACCAGACGCCCUAGUUCCCAGGCUGGGUUUCCCUCCAGAUGUGUUCUCCUGCGGUGUCGGUUCCACCGUUAAACAGCUGUAUCGCUCAGCAGGUACGCAACGUUGAUGCGCCUCCAUUUCCUCCUCUGCAGAAUUGUGGGCGUUCCUGUCGUGGCUCAGCAGAAUCCGGCUUGUAUCCACGAGGAUGCGGGUUCUAUCCCUGGCCUCGCUCGGUGAAUCUGGGAUCCAGCCUUGCCGUGAGCUGUGGUGUAGGCCGGAAGCUGUAGCUCCAAUUUGACCCCUAGCCUGGAAACUUCCAUAUGCUGAGGGUUCGGCCUUAAAAACAACAACAACAACAAAAUAGUACUUACGUCAUAGGGUUGCUGUCAGCAUUAAAUGAGAGAGUCUGUUAAAAACGCCGAGAACAUUGCCUGGCAAUAUACAUUGCAGAAUACUCAAUAAAUAUUAGCUGGUGUUAUUUCAUACUUCAUCAAAC
rnacentral:lncRNA from 1 species